UGGGAAGUAUUGCACAAUGGGAAACCGGUAGCAUGCAGCGACGCCGCGUGAGCGAUGAAGUAUUUCGGUAUGUAAAGCUCUAUCAGCAGGGAAGAAAAUGGCGGUACCUGACUAAGAAGCCCCGGCUAACUACGUGCCAGCAGCCGCGGUAAUACGUAGGUGGCAAGCGUUAUCCGGAAUCAUUGGGCGUAAAGGGUGCGUAGGUGGCACGAUAAGUCUGAAGUAAAAGGCAACAGCUCAACUGUUGUAUGCUUUGGAAACUGUCGAGCUAGAGUGCAGAAGAGGGCGAUGGAAUUCCAUGUGUAGCGGUAAAAUUGCGUAGAUAUAUGGAGGAACACCAGUGGCGAAGGCGGCUUACUGGACGGUGACUGACGUUGAGGCUCGAAAGCGUGGGGAGCAAACAGGAUUAGAUACCC
rnacentral:rRNA from 1 species